rnacentral:rRNA from 1 species
UUACCUACCCUUGACAUGUCUGGAAGCUUCGAGAGAUUGAAGUGUGCUCGCAAGAGAACCGGAACACAGGUGCUGCAUGGCUGUCGUCAGCUCGUGUCGUGAGAUGUUGGGUUAAGUCCCGCAACGAGCGCAACCCUUGUCAUUAGUUGCUACGAAAGGGCACUCUAAUGAGACUGCCGGUGACAAACCGGAGGAAGGUGGGGAUGACGUCAAGUCCUCAUGGCCCUUAUGGGUAGGGCUUCACACGUCAUACAAUGGUCGGGACAGAGGGUCGCCAACCCGCGAGGGGGAGCCAAUCCCAGAAACCCGAUCGUAGUCCGGAUUGCAGGCUGCAACUCGCCUGCAUGAAGUCGGAAUCGCUAGUAAUCGCGGAUCAGCAUGUCGCGGUGAAUACGUUCCCGGGUCUUGUACACACCGCCCGUCACACCAUGGGAGUGGGUUUUACCAGAAGUAGUUAGCCUAACCGCAAGGAGGGCGAUUACCACGGUAGGAUUCAUGACUGGGGUGAAGUCGUAACAAGGUAACC